rnacentral:lncRNA from 1 species
UUUGAUAAAAAUUAACCCUAAUGGGUCAAGUAUAUGUACAAUAGUUUUUAAUUAACCAUUUCUUUUUUUCUUUUUUUACGGUUAGCACCAUACCCCAAAACUCCAGCGUGUGAGGGAUCUCAAAAGGCCCUUGUGUCAUGAUCGAUUUAUUUAUGCGCAGGACAAGAUAACUAGUUCUUCUUUCAUAGGAACCUUUAUGCAGCAGCUGAAUAAACGAGAACAAACCAUGUUAGAGUGAGUGACUGUGUGUGAUUUUAUAUUCUGUUUUUGGACCGUUCAUACUCAGUAGUUUUUUUUUACUUUGUCUUAUGUCAUAACUUUGUAUGCAGGGGGUGGCGGCUGAUAAAUGAGAAGAUGUCUGUACUGAAGGAGGAGCUCGAGGACAAGCUGAAUGAGGAAGCUCUUGCUGAAGGGCUGUACAAGAAGUCUGGCAGAUUAGUACUCCUUGGCCUUGGCAAUGCUGGCAAAACGACGCUUCUGCAUAUGCUGAACGAGCACAGACUGGGUCUGCAUGUGCCGACCUUUGACCCCAGUAAGUGUACACUGCACUGCACCUUUCACAGAAUGCUGCAUGUUGAGCUUGCCUGGCUUUGGUGUCCACUGAUUCAUGUGAGCUACAGUGGCGGCGCAUGGGUUUUAAAAUAGAGGAGGCACACUAACUUAAUUGUGUUGGUCUGGGAUCCCUGCCGAUUAUUAUUAUUAUUUGCUUAACCGCUUUAAAAUGGCUUUUUGGUUGCUUUAGUGAGAAAUGUAAAGAAAAUGACACACAAGUAGGGCUGGACAAUAAUUCAAUAUCAAUAUGUAUCGACGAUAAAAAAAAAAUUCAAUAACGGUGAUAUGGUUUUUAAACACAUUUCCGAUAUUUCGAUAUACCAGUGUUCCCAAUACAUUGAUUUAUUUGUGGCGUUUGACUUCGUUGAAUAAAUAUGAGCACUGCACGUUUCAAAAUCAAAACACGUCGCGGGUGUUUUAUAUGAAUGUAUCUCUGAAGGAACCGACUGUUUUCAGAAAAGUUUCGAUGGCAUUUUCAUUUUAUCUGAUAAAGAAGCGUUCAUAAGCGCAGCUGCUUUAAUUAAUAGCCGUUACUGGAGAAACCCAAUUAUAAAAAAAAAAAUACUAAACUAAGUUACUGUAUUCUAUUAAA